rnacentral:lncRNA from 1 species
CGCGGCUCGGGCUGCUGCGUACACCUGUUCUCGCCGUCUCACCUGCUACCCUACAGAUGCUCCCCCGCAGCUGGGUGUAUGGCGACUCGGGUCAUGCUGGGCCGUGUUAGAGGACACCAAUUCUCACAAUUCUCGGCGCAGGAAAAAAAAAAAAGACUCCCCUCUCCCCUUCUACCUUCCCCAACUCCGAUAAGGCGGAAGUCGGAUCGUAUGUGCUGACGUCACGCGCCGUCGGCAAAAGUAAGCCGCGCCAUGUCCCGCAAGAGAGCGCGGGAGGCCGACCCCGACGACGACCACUGGGACGAAGAGCUGCACGACCCCGCCGCUGGGCAGCAGUUCUGUCCCCUGUCACAGGUACG